rnacentral:rRNA from 1 species
GAGUUUGAUCCUGACUCAGAGCGAACGCUGGCGGCGUGCUUAACACAUGCAAGUCGAGUGCGCAGUCUGCUGUAGCAAUACAGCAGGCCGGCGCACGGCGCACGGGUGCGUAACACGUGGGUAACCUGCCCUCUAAAGGGGGAUAACCCGCCGAAAGGCGGGCUAAUACCGCAUAACAUUCCGGUGACUUCGGUCGCCGGAAUCAAAGCUCGUAAGGGCGUUGGAGGAGGGGCCCGCGGCCGAUUAGCUUGUUGGCGAGGUAACGGCUCACCAAGGCUUUGAUCGGUAGCCGGUCUGAGAGGAUGGCCGGCCACACUGGAACUGAGACACGGUCCAGACUCCUACGGGAGGCAGCAGUGGGGAAUCUUGCGCAAUGGGCGAAAGCCUGACGCAGCGACGCCGCGUGGGGGAUGAAGCUUCUCGGAGUGUAAACCCCUUUCGACCCGGACGAAACGCCCGCAAGGGCCUGACGGUACGGGUAUAAGAAGCCCCGGCUAACUACGUGCCAGCAGCCGCGGUAAGACGUAGGGGGCCAGCGUUGCUCGGAAUUACUGGGCGUAAAGGGUUCGUAGGCGGUGCGGUAAGUCGGAAGUGAAAUCUCUGGGCUUAACCCAGAGGCUGCUUUCGAAACUGCCGUGCUAGAGUGCGGGAGAGGCGAGUGGAAUUACAGGUGUAGCGGUGAAAUGCGUAGAUAUCUGUAGGAACACCCGUGGCGAAGGCGGCUCGCUGGACCGCAACUGACGCUGAGGAACGAAAGCUA